rnacentral:rRNA from 1 species
AGUCACUGACAUUAGAUACCCCUGUAGUCCUAGCCGUAAACGAUACUCGCUAGGUGUCGGCCACGGUGCGACCGUUGUCGGUGCCGUAGGGAAGCCGUGAAGCGAGCCACCUGGGAAGUACGGCCGCAAGGCUGAAACUUAAAGGAAUUGGCGGGGGAGCACCACAACGGGUGGAGCUUGCGGUUUAAUUGGACUCAACGCCGGGAAGCUCACCGGAUAGGACAGCGGAAUGAUUGCCGGGCUGAAGACCCUGCAUGACCAGCUG